UACGACCACAUCACGUUAAAACACUGGUUUCUGUAUGGUCACUGAAGUUAAACAACAUCAAGCCUAGUCAGUAUUUAGAUGGGUGACUGCUUGGGAAUACCGCGUGUCGUAA